rnacentral:sRNA from 1 species
GCCCAGAAAUGGACCGAGCGGACCCACAGCCGCACGCACCCUGCUCCACUCCAAGCUCCUAAAGGCUCCCGGCGCGCCGCGUAGCCUUGGCGAGGUCCGCGCUGGGGUGCGGAGAGCGAAGGGAACUGGAGAGCCAUGUAGAUCCAGGCUCUUGCCCGCCCGCCUCCUUCGGGAUCGAAUCAAGGGCUCCCAUAGUGUUAGGAGGGGGCGAGAGUGCUGUUUAUCGUCAUUUGCCUCGGAGCUUCGGGAGAGGGUGGUAUUUUGCUUUUCCGCCCCGCAUCCUCCGGAACUCCCUGCACCGGAGAGAGGACGGCGUCUCCAGGUUGCUGGCAACCGGUGAGAAUGGGGGUAGGGAAUGAACAUUUUCGCCGUAGCUGCUCGGUAAAGCGAUUGUCCAACUGAGAGGGGCGUCGGACGAGUGGACCAGGGCGGCGAGUUUGCCCGGCGCGUCUCGGACGCUGCUGCGGUGGCCGCCGCGGCUCCCGCCAGGGCACUGCAAAGGCGACCUGCCGCAUUCCCACGCGGGCUCUCCGCCGACUCAGCACCGCCCCUGCGCCAAGCCAGCCGGCCAGCCCAGCCCUGGCAUUAGCCACAACAAGAAGAUGAAGACGCAGGCCCUGCUUGCAAGGAUCCUGUGACAUUAUUCCACCUCAAACCCCUAACCUCUGUGGACUUGGGUUUUCUGGCUUCAUCCUGGGCAGUCUGACCAAGCCCUGGCAUUCCCAGGCCACAUCCACCUGCCUUGGCAUCCUGUCCGCAGCCACCCUGCCUUCCUUGGAUGUGGCCAACAGACAUGUGUCAUGGCGAAUGUGCCAGAGCAACUGGGAGCUACUCAGAGAGGAACUCAAUGAAGAUGAGAUCAUUUUACCUCCCCCACAGUUCCCUAGCAAAUCUCAGCGUUGAGCCGCUGUGCUAACUCCAGAGAGAGUGCACUUAUUGGUAACUAACUGCUUUGUUUACCAUUCACAGUGGCUCUGAAAAGCCUACCUCUUGGGUGGUAGAUAUGGAGUGAACAAUGUUACUGUGAUGAAAUGACACAGUGACAGCCUGGAGGUCAUGCAACCUAGAGGACCUAGACUGGGACCCUGUUCUAGAUACUUCAUUUCACAGGUAACCUAGAGAACCUAGACUGGGACCCUGUUCUAGAUACUUCAUUUCACAGGUAAAGACACUGAGACCCAGAAAAAUGAUCUUUCUUGUUGUGUAAUGAGAGGCCAAGCUGGUGCGAGUCCAGGAGCCCCAUUUCUCUGGCCCAUCCUCCUUUCCUAUCCCUACCCCGGUUUCCUUCCCACCAGUUGAUGCUGCAGGGACCCCCCAAUUCCACAGUCAAGCCUAAACUUUGCCCCAAGACAUUGAACUUCUUCCCUUCCCAGACUGGUCUUGUGAAAUAUUCAGAAAUAGGAAAUUGGCUUGACUGGUGACUUUCCUUCCCUUCCCAAUUCAGUUCAGGAAACAGUAAACUGAAACAAGAAUAAAUAAAAGAAAUAGGGAAGAGAAGACAAUAGUAAUCAGAACUAUUUCUUGACUGUGAAAAGGCUGUAAUGAAAUAAGGAAAUAAGAUCCCUUAAGAAUUCUACUGGCCAGACACAGUGGCUGCUCACACCUACAAUGCCAGCACUUUGGGAGACAGAGUGCAGUACAUUGCUUGAAUGCAGGAGUUCAAGAGCAGCCUGAGCAACAGGGCAAAACUCUGUUUCCAAAAAAAAAAAAAAAAAAAAAAAAAAAUUAGCCUCAGUUAUUCAGGAGGCUGAGGUGGGAGGGUCACCUGAGCCUGGGAGGUCAAGGCUACAGUGAGCUGAGAUCACGCCACUACACAUCCAGCC